rnacentral:rRNA from 1 species
GGACUACAGGGGUAUCUAAUCCUGUUUGCUCCCCACGCUUUCGUGCCUCAGUGUCAGUAUCAGUCCAGGGGGCUGCCUUCGCCAUCGGUAUUCCUCCACAUCUCUACGCAUUUCACUGCUACACAUGGAAUUCUACCCCCCUCUACCGUACUCUAGUCUAUCCGUACCAUAUGCCAUUCCCAGGUUGAGCCCGGGGAUUUCACAUCUGGCGCAAUAAACCACCUGCGCACCCUUUACGCCCAGUAAUUCCGAUUAACGCUCGCACCCUACGUAUUACCGCGGCUGCUGGCAC